rnacentral:lncRNA from 1 species
CAGAUUUUGUAAUUCAUUUGUUUGCACAUAAAAAUGCAUUUUCCUGCUCUCACACUCCUUAGUAAUUCUCUUCCUAAGCCAUUUUGCAGCGUAUUUGUCAAGGAAAUUUGCCAUUUUCGAUUUGGAGACAACAACUCAAGUCAGAGUAAGGACCCAACGUCACCAUCGAUAAAUCAUUUGUGCAAUUCCCAGAGUGUAAAGGAUGACUGCAGGGCUCCAGGCGCUUUCGUUUGUUAUGAUCUCUCCACCGGGGAGUUCGUGGAUGUGGCCAAGAGCAAGUUACAACCUCUCUGGGCCUUUGUUCCCACGUCUUUGAGACCCAGAUUGAUAUUAUUAAUAAUGGCUACUUGCAGAGUAAAUCUACGUCCAAGGGGAUACAAGCAUCAGGGGAAUGCAAAUCAAAACCACAAUGAGAUAUCACUUAACUCCAGUGAGAAUGGCCUUUAUCAAAAAGUCCCCAAACAACAAAUUCUGGUGUGGAUGUGGAGAGAGAGGAACACUCCUACAUUGCUGGUGGGACUGCAAACUAGUUCAACUUCUGUGGAAAGCAAUAUGGAGAUACCUCAAAGUGAUACAAGUAGAUCUACCAUUUGA